rnacentral:tRNA from 1 species
GUCGAAGUGGCGGAAUGGCAGACGCAGUGGACUUAAAAUCCACAGGGCACAUCGCUCGUAGGGGUUCAAGUCCCCUCUUCGGCACCA